rnacentral:lncRNA from 10 species
AGAAUAGUUCUUUUCAAUAGAAUAUGAUUUGGAAUGAUUUUUCACUUCCGGUUUCAGAUAGUUAAGAGGGAGUGCCUUCUAUGCACUCUCCCUCUCACCCUCUCGCCCUCUCAUGCCACAUGGAUGCUGAGGGCUUCCUUGAAACUAUGAGUUGAAGGUGGUAGAGCCAGAGACUGCAAAGAGGCCUGUACUUUGAGGACAACUUGGCGAACAGUCCACGCCUAUGAUAUGAGAAAGAGUUUAAGAAACAUAAUACAUCAGAUCUAUUUCAAAGGUCAACUUAGAAGGGAAAUGUUUCGAUUGAGAGGAAGAUGUUAGCUGAGAAUGAAAGGCUGUUUUAGAUGGCAAGUUCAAAGAAAGGAGACUACUAUG